UAGGGAAUCUUCUACAAUGGACGCAAGUCUGAUGGAGCAACGCCGCGUGAGUGAAGAAGGUCUUCGGAUCGUAAAGCUCUGUUGUUGGUGAAGAAGGAUAGAGGCAGUAACUGGUCUUUAUUUGACGGUAAUCAACCAGAAAGUCACGGCUAACUACGUGCCAGCAGCCGCGGUAAUACGUAGGUGGCAAGCGUUGUCCGGAUUUAUUGGGCGUAAAGCGAGCGCAGGCGGAAUGAUAAGUCUGAUGUGAAAGCCCACGGCUCAACCGUGGAACUGCAUCGGAAACUGUCAUUCUUGAGUGCAGAAGAGGAGAGUGGAACUCCAUGUGUAGCGGUGGAAUGCGUAGAUAUAUGGAAGAACACCAGUGGCGAAGGCGGCGUCUCUGGUCUGCAAACUGACGCUGAGGCUCGAAAGCAUGGGUAGCGAACAGGAUUAGAUACCCUGGUAGUCCAUGCCGUAAACGAUGAGCGCUAGGUGUUGGGGACUUUCCGGUCCUCAGUGCCGCAGCAAACGCAUUAAGCGCUCCGCCUGGGGAGUACGACCGCAAGGUUGAAAC
rnacentral:rRNA from 1 species